AGCACAUGUGUAUAUCUCAUCCACAGGGUUAUUCACUGACAGCCCACUGUAUCAUACUCUCAUUAAGUACAGUCUUUGACCACUAUGGUACACCAGUAAUGUUCUACCUCUUCUGGAUCAUAUUUGGACUAUUAACAACAUGUAAACAAGUUGGUAUAUUACUGUCUCGUUCCUGGUCCCUAAGAGACGGGCUGAUACUGUCACUAGUGAUAGGAUCAUGUCACAUGUGCUCAAUCCUCUACUUAAGAUUCAUGUAUCACAGAGUUUAUGAAGCUCUUGCAGAAGCCAUAUGAGUAUCAAUAUCAAGAACAAUAACAUUAAAGAAUUUUAUAUUAA